CAAAACGUAGCUUAACUAAAGCACCACGCUUACACCGAGGUUAUGUCUGCUAAACUCAGAUCGCUUUGA
rnacentral:tRNA from 1 species